rnacentral:rRNA from 1 species
AUUGAACGCUGGCGGCAUGCCUUACACAUGCAAGUCGAACGGCAGCGGGGACUUCGGUCCGCCGGCGAGUGGCGAACGGGUGAGUAAUGUAUCGGAACGUACCAUUGAGUGGGGGAUAACUAUCCGAAAGGAUAGCUAAUACCGCAUAUUCUCUCCGGAGGAAAGCAGGGGACCGCAAGGCCUUGCGCUCAUUAAGCGGCCGAUAUCAGAUUAGCUAUUUGGUGAGGUAAAGGCUCACCAAGGCGACGAUCUGUAGCGGGUCUGAGAGGAUGUACAGCCACACUGGAAAUGAGACACGGUCCAGCAUCCUACGGGAGGCAGCAGUGGGGAAUUUUGGACAAUGGGGGCAACCCUGAUCCAGCCAUGCCCCGUGAGUGAAGAAGGCCUUCGGGUUGUAAAGCUCUUUCGGCCGGGAAAAAAUCGCAUGGGUUAAUACCCUGUGUGGAUGAUGGUACCGGAAUAAGAAGCACCGGCUAACUACGUGCCAGCCGCCGCAGUAA